GCCGCGGUGGUGGAAUUGGUUUACACAGUAGACUUAAAAUCUAUCUCCUUUUUGGAGUGAGAGUUCGAGUCUCUCCCGCGGCACCA
rnacentral:tRNA from 1 species